rnacentral:rRNA from 1 species
GACGAACGCUGGCGGCGUGCCUAAUACAUGCAAGUUGAGCGCUGAAGGUUGGUACUUGUACCAACUGGAUGAGCAGCGAACGGGUGAGUAACGCGUGGGGAAUCUGCCUUUGAGCGGGGGACAACAUUUGGAAACGAAUGCUAAUACCGCAUAAAAACUUUAAACACAAGUUUUAAGUUUGAAAGAUGCAAUUACAUCACUCAAAGAUGAUCCCGCGUUGUAUUAGCUAGUUGGUUAGGUAAAGGCUCACCAAGGCGAUGAUACAUAGCCGACCUGAGAGGGUGAUCGGCCACAUUGGGACUGAGACACGGCCCAAACUCCUACGGGAGGCAGCAGUAGGGAAUCUUCGGCAAUGGACGAAAGUCUGACCGAGCAACGCCGCGUGAGUGAAGAAGGUUUUCGGAUCGUAAAACUCUGUUGGUAGAGAAGAACGUUGGUGAGAGUGGAAAGCUCAUCAAGUGACGGUAACUACCCAGAAAGGGACGGCUAACUACGUG